rnacentral:siRNA from 1 species
AGGGAACGGGGAGUCUGGUGGGU